CUUUCUAUAGAACUGAGAAAAACAGUUGACACUCAAAAGCACUGUCAUAUCCAAAAGACUCCAGCUCCAGAUUAUAACUACUGCAUCCUUCCAGUGUGUGUGUGUGUUUCUUCACAGUCUUUGAAUAGUGCAAGUAGUCUUCAGUGUAGGUGACUUCUCUGUUUCAAUGGAGCCUGACUUAUCUUCUGUGUUCUUCAAGGUUAUUGUAAUUUCAUAACAGCAUUGACUCUCCAGAAGCAAAGCAUUUAUCCUAUUAAUAUAUCUCUUUGUUAUAGAUUAAAGAUAUUUCUUGAUGAUUAUUAAUCUACUUUUCUGAUACCAUGGUGCACAAGGAAAGCAAGGAUGGUGACAUGCACAUUAGUGUUCCUCCUUUCCUAGUAAAGGAUCCCAUACAGAAUCAACCUGAGGUUUAGGGUGAUAACAUAGCCCUGUGAUAUGGGUAUAUUAUUUCAAUGAUGCUCGGUGUUCUCAGAUGACAGUGAAAUUAAUGCUUAUGCAUAUUUGCCAAAGGUAACAAAGAUAUUUUGCCAUAAAUAAGUAAAUAUGAAACUCAUAUCUGCCUUAUGAUGAAGUCUGCAAUCAUAACUUACUUUGCUCAAUUCAAUCCUUCAAGAACAAACAUUUUCAGUUAUUCAGGGCUAAAGGGAAUUUACAUAUUUUAAUGCAGAAAAAAGUAAUAUGAUAAUUUAUAAUAAGCCUCAUUUCAAGCAAUCUGGUUGGUAUCUAUUUGUGUAUAGGAAUAUUGAAACAGUUAACUUUUUUCCUGCUUUUUAUUGGAAAUAGAUUUUUUUCAUACAAUAUACUCUGGUUAUGGUUUCUCUUUCCCAACUCCUCCCACAUCCUCCCUACCUCUGCCCCCAUCCAAAUCCCAACCUUUUCUUUCUCUCUCUCAUUAGAAAACAAAAAGUUAUCUACAAAUAAUAAUAAAGGGGAAAACAAUCUGGACUAGAACAGAACAAAUGAACAAUCAAACAAACACAUUAGUGUUAAAACAUGAUUAUACUUUCUUGGCAUUAUUAACCUCAGAAUAAUAAAUGGUGGAUUAUAAGUUGAAGAGAUUGGGGCUCAGGACACAGUUGAUUUACAGUUGAAAGUAACUUUUCAUUGUUUAUUUUCAUAUUGCUAUCCAUAUUUGAAAAUGUAGAAGAGAAUUCUAUCAUAAAUUUUCAGUUAUGUCAAUAAAAUAUAAAAAUGUCCUGGAAAGACUGUUCAGUGGUUAGUUCCAGCCUCAGGUUAUUCAACACUGUCUUCUGGCAUGCAUGGGUACAAGCAUUCACAUGCCCAUAGUCAUUCAGAGACACAUAUACCUAAAAUUAACAAAAAAUAAGUCUUUUUAUGAAGAAAAUUCUAGAAAUGUACCAUUCUGUGCUUAUAGUUGAAAGUAUUGUAUAAUAUCCUGAAAAUUUUGUUGAAGAACAAUCUCAUAUAAACUAUUGUUACCAUAGUUUUUAAAGUGAUAAAAUUUAAAAGAUUCAGAACACAUAUGGCAUUGAAUUUAAAGUGACGUGUGAACAUGCCACAAAAAAUGUAGCUGUCAUUUCCAGUGACCCAUAUUGUAAAAUAUUCUUCCAAUAUGUAUUAGUGUAGUACCAUUACAUUAUAUUUGUAUUUAGACUGUGCUGCUACAGGCAAAAAGAUGAGAAAGUUGUCAUAUUUAUUAAGGUCUCCAUGGAAUUUUCAGGUGCAAACAGACAGAUGAAGCAAGGUGUUGUCUUUGAAUUUUAGAAAACCUUGCUGCAGUUGUGGAAUAAAAGGACAAAAGUGUGGAAGCAGAGGUGGGGCAUUUUCUUAAUUUGGGAAAGGGUGGAAGUUUUAUCUUCAAAAAAAGUUAUCUUUAGGAGAUACAUGGAACAAAGAACAUCUUGCAUUUAUCUCAUCCUUUAUAUUUAAGGAAACCUUUUAAAAUAAUGAAUGGGAGUUUUUUCUUUGUGGCUUGUGAACCCCUUUACCAGGGGCACAAUUGGAAAAAGUGAGGGCAGUUCCUAGGCUUGGGCUGCUAUAACAAAACACUCUAUCCCAGGUGGCUUAGACAUCAGAAAAUUAUUUCUCACUAUUCUAAAAGCUAAUAUUAGAUUUCUAGUUUCAUUACUGGUGAAGCCUGUCUUUUUGGCUAAAAAACUGUGCUCCUCAAAGUGUGUCCCUGAAUGUCCUUCCCUCACUGUGUUCACAGACCAUCCUGUCUUCCUCCUAAGACUGCCAAGCAGAUCAUAAGGGAUCUAAUCCUUUUUACUUCCCAGACGCUUCACCUCCAAGCGCUAUGAUAUCAGAGGCUAGGAUUUCACUUUACUAGUUUAUGGAGGGCAUAUUUCAACAUUCCAGCGUGAGCCACUUUCAGUCCUUAGAUUUCACGACAGCAUCCUAAGUUAGUAUUACUAUCGUUCCAAUUAUCAAGAUUGAUAGAAACAUGUCCUCAAACCUCCUUUCCUUUUCAACAUAGAAAUAAUUUGAACACAACACCUAUUGCUUUUGUACCUAUUGCUAAACUGACCUAAACUACUAUCUUAAGCCACAAUGUUGUGCUUACAAUUAAGUUACUUGCUUAAUAGUCUGUCUCUUUUCUACUGUUUCAAUUCAGAGCACACGCUGCAGCAAAGUAAAUGUAAAAUGAUGGGGAAGUUUGAGUGAAUGGCUUUCUGUACUGUUGGAGCAUUUACUGAGGAAACCACUUAGGUAUCAGUGAUUUGCUGCUUGUCCUCCUCCUAAGGUGCCGUGGUGACUGUUUUGACAAGCUAUCAGGAAGGGUCUUCCUUUGCAUGUGCCCACCAUGAUAUGAUGUGCUGCCUCUGCCUCCUUGCUGAACAAACUUCAGUUCCAAGGGAACCUAAAUACAUCAGAUCAGUGAAUCGCACUUUAAAGACAUUGUAAUAUGUGACUUCAGAAAGCCGUUCAGAAAACUGAAGUCAUAGAAGAACUGGCAGGUGGUUAAGGAGUUUAGCUUUGAGGAACAGUCAUUGGUUAAGAGAGGAUGCAACUAUGGGGGGAAUAUGGCAGUUAUUAUUUAGCUAGCUACUUCUAUGUAAAAUUGGAAAAUAUAAGAAGUACUAAGCAUCUCUAUUGACUGUCUAAGAAUGAGUAAACAUAUAGCUUUAAAUAAGAAAGUCUUGUUUAUCAGGAGAGAACAUAAAUACAAAUUCUGUUUUGCUUAAAAAAUCUUUAUUGGGUUGAAAUGGUAAAAUAUUAUCUUCAUUCAAAGUUUCCACAGCACUGUAUUCAACCUGUGUGUUUAGAACCUAACAUUAUUCUGAUAAGAGGAUUCCAUUAAAUUAAAUUAUGUUUUU